CCAGUCAUAUGCUUGUCUCAAAGAUUAAGCCAUGCAUGUCUGAGUACAGACCGAUCUAAGGUGAAACCGCGAAUGGCUCAUUAAAUCAGUCAUAAUUCCUUGGAUAGUGAAAAACUUUCCUCGGAUAACUGUGGAAAAUCCAGAGCUAAUACGUGCAACUGAGCUCCGACCUAGGCGCAAGCCUUGGGAAGAGCGCAUUUGUUAGAUUCAAAACUGACCGGCGUACUCCUUCGGGAUAUGCCGUUUGUUAAAAUUUGAUGACUCAGGACAACUAAGUCGAGCGCUCCGGUCUUUAGUACCGGCGCCGUAUCUUUCAAGUGUCUGCCUUAUCAGCUUUCGAUUGUAGGUUAAACGCCUACAAUGGCUGUAACGGGUAACGGGGAAUCAGGGUUCGAUUCCGGAGAGGGAGCCUGAGAAACGGCUACCACAUCUAAGGAAGGCAGCAGGCACGCAAAUUACCCACUCCCAGCCCGGGGAGGUAGUGACGAAAAAUAACGAUGCGAGACUCUUCCGAGGCCUCGCAAUCGGAAUGAGUCCAUUUUAAAUCCUUGGACGAGGAUCCAUUGGAGGGCAAGUCUGGUGCCAGCAGCCGCGGUAAUUCCAGCUCCAAUAGCGUAUAUUAAAGUUGCUGCGGUUAAAAAGCUCGUAGUUGGACUUUCUAGAUCCAUUUCGUGGGUGAGUCGCUCUUAGUACUAGCGUCUCGUGCAGUUCCUCGACAAAGUCGUCUCGCGUUCGUUCGAGCGCGCGGUCGCUCGCGUAUGUACUUCUUUAGCGGCUUAACGUCGUUCUAGAGGUUGCACUCGCGUGUGUCGCCGCUUCUCGUUCGCGCAGACGUUCCAGAGUCCCGUGGACGGCGAGGCGUUGUCUUAGAGUAUAGCUCGUCCGCGUUUGGUACAAUUAAAAUUUUGUCGGCUCGCUCGGAGUGCUCUUUACCGAGUGUUCCAGGGUGGCUGACACGUUCACUUUGAAAAAAUUAGAGUGCUUAAAGCGGGCUUAUUUACGGCCUGAAUGUCUGUGCAUGGAAUGAAGUAACAGGACCUCGAUUCUGUUGUUUUUGUCGGUUUUAAUGAACCGAGGUAAUGAUUAAAAGGGACAGACGGUGGCAUUAGUAUUGCGGCGCUAGAGGUGAAAUUCUUGGACCGUCGCAAGACUAACUACUGCGAAAGCAUUUGCCGAGAAUGUUUUCAUUAAUCAAGAACGAAAGUUAGAGGAUCGAAGGCGAUCAGAUACCGCCCUAGUUCUAACCCUAAACUAUGCUAACUAGCGAUCCGCCGGAGUCAUUCCCACGACCCGGCGGGAAGCCCCAGGGAAACCAAAGUCUUUGAGUUCCGGGGGAAGUAUGGUUGCAAAGCUGAAACUUAAAGGAAUUGACGGAAGGGCACCACCAGGAGUGGAGCCUGCGGCUUAAUUUGACUCAACACGGGAAACCUCACCAGGCCCGGACAUCAUAAGGAUUGACAGGUUGAGAGCUCUUUCUCGAUUUGAUGGGUGGUGGUGCAUGGCCGUUCUUAGUUGGUGGAGUGAUCUGUCUGGUUGAUUCCGAUAACGAACGAGACUCUACCCUACUAACUAGUCGGCGGAUCGUAACCCUGAGAUGGUUAGUUUGUAUAGGAGAGUUUUGCUGAGGCAAGGUCCGUGUGAUCGAUAGGGUUGCAACCUCUGGCGUCGCGUCUCUUCGGGGAUAUGCGCGUAUGUUGUUGUAGCUCUAGAGGUUGCGCGCGGCUUUCUGUCGAAGCGGCUUUCUGAUUGCUGCUACUGCUGGGGGCGUCCGUCGCAAUGUAUCUUCUUAGAGGGAUCAGCGGCGUAUAGCCGCACGAGAAAGAGCAAUAACAGGUCUGUGAUGCCCUUAGAUGUUCUGGGCCGCACGCGCGCUACAAUGUAGGGCUCAGCGUGCUUUCCCUCUCCGAAAGGAGCGGGUAACCCGUUGAAACCCCUACCCGAUUGGGAUUGGGGAUUGCAAUUAUUUCCCAUAAACGAGGAAUUCCCAGUAAGCGCGAAUCAUUAAUUCGCGCUGAUUACGUCCCUGCCCUUUGUACACACCGCCCGUCGCUACUACCGAUUGAAUGAUUCAGUGAGGGCAUCGGACUGGCCCUUCGGUUUAGUAACCUAGACCUUAGGCUGACGGAAAGAUGUCCGAAC
rnacentral:rRNA from 1 species